AUGAAAUUAUGUAGUGAUAUAUCAUGGGGCUUCUCUUAUUAAACAGGGCAAUAGUGACUACACAACUUUUAUAAGAGGUUGUACCUGCUCUUGUUGAGUGGCAAGGCAAAGAAAAAUGUGGCCGAUGUUACUGGCUGGUGAGCAGGAGGUGGGGGUGGUGGCCGAUGUUACUGGCUGGUGAGCAGGAGGUGGUGGUGGAUGUUUUUGUUUGAGAACCUCGUGAAAUACCUGAAGUCUUCAUCAGACACACACCAUCUAUCCAGCAAAGCUCGAGAGAUGGUAAGGCUCGACACCAGUUCCUCCAGCUUGACACCAGUUCUUUUAUUUUUUCCAAUGCCUCAUCAAGAGCACCUAAUUAAA